rnacentral:rRNA from 1 species
GCUCAGGAUGAACGCUGGCGGCGUGCCUAAUACAUGCAAGUCGAACGCUUUGUGGUUCAACUGAUUUGAAGAGCUUGCUCAGAUAUGACGAUGGACAUUGCAAAGAGUGGCGAACGGGUGAGUAACACGUGGGAAACCUACCUCUUAGCAGGGGAUAACAUUUGGAAACAGAUGCUAAUACCGUAUAACAAUGACAACCGCAUGGUUGUUAUUUAAAAGAUGGUUCUGCUAUCACUAAGAGAUGGUCCCGCGGUGCAUUAGCUAGUUGGUAAGGUAAUGGCUUACCAAGGCGAUGAUGCAUAGCCGAGUUGAGAGACUGAUCGGCCACAAUGGGACUGAGACACGGCCCAUACUCCUACGGGAGGCAGCAGUAGGGAAUCUUCCACAAUGGGCGAAAGCCUGAUGGAGCAACGCCGCGUGUGUGAUGAAGGGUUUCGGCUCGUAAAACACUGUUGUAAGAGAAGAAUGACAUUGAGAGUAACUGUUCAAUGUGUGACGGUAUCUUACCAGAAAGGAACGGCUAAAUACGUGCCAGCAGCCGCGGUAAUACGUAUGUUCCAAGACGCAUACGGAUUUUGGGCGUAAGCGAGCGCAGACGGUUAUUUAAGUCUGAAGUGAAAGCCCUCAGCUCAACUGAGGAAUUGCUUUGGAAACUGGAUGACUUGAGUGCAGUAGAGGAAAGUGGAACUCCAUGUGUAGCGGUGAAAUGCGUAGAUAUAUGGAAGAACACCAGUGGCGAAGGCGGCUUUCUGGACGUAACUGACGUGAGCUGAAACAGGAAGUAGCAAACAGGAUUAGAUACCCUGGUAGUCCACACCGUAAACGAUGAGUGCUAGGUGUUUGAGGGUUUCCGCCCUUAAGUGCCGCAGCUAACGCAUUAAGCACUCCGCCUGGGGAGUACGACCGCAAGGUUGAAACUCAAAGGAAUUGACGGGGACCCGCACAAGCGGUGGAGCAUGUGGUUUAAUUCGAAGCAACGCGAAGAACCUUACCAGGUCUUGACAUCCCUUGACAACUCCAGAGAUGGAGCGUUCCCUUCGGGGACAAGGUGACAGGUGGUGCAUGGUUGUCGUCAGCUCGUGUCGUGAGAUGUUGGGUUAAGUCCCGCAACGAGCGCAACCCUUAUUACUAGUUGCCAGCAUUCAGUUGGGCACUCUAGUGAGACUGCCGGUGACAAACCGGAGGAAGGUGGGGGAUGACGUCAAAUCAUCAUGCCCCUUAUGACCUGGGCUACACACGUGCUACAAUGGCGUAUACAACGAGUUGCCAACCCGCCGAGGGUGAGCUAAUCUCUUAAAGUACGUCUCAGUUCGGAAUUGUAGGCUGCAACUCGCCUACAUGAAGUCGGAAUCGCUAGUAAUCGCGGAUCAGCACGCCGCGGGUGAAUACGUUCCCGGGGUCUUGUACACACCGCCCGUCAACCAAUGAAGAGUUUGUAACACCCAAAGCCGGGUGGGGUAACCUUUCGGGAGCCAGCCGUCUAAGGUGGGACAGAUGAUUAAGGGUGAUCUACAAAGAAAAACCCCAGAAGAACAAGAAAAGGGGAGAGAGGUGGUCUCUCUCGUUCGUGUGGUUAGA